rnacentral:misc_RNA from 1 species
CCGAAGGGACGCAAAGCAAAGUAGGGAAGCAUUUUUGGCGCCAAACUGCAGCGUGCCGACGUAAACAAGUGCCGAAAGCCGAGGACGUAAAGCGAAAAAGAGGCACACGAGAAAACACACAACGAAAGGGGGUGAAGAGGAGCUUUUGAGCUUUCCACCCGCCACCCACAAAGCACGGACAGCAAGCACAAUUGUCUUGAGAAAGUCUGCCAACGACACGGAACGAAUGGUCAAUUCAGUCAGAAAGGAGCUCCCCAGACAGCAACGCGACGCGCAACGGUACUCUGCUGGCAGUUAUGGCAAUAAAAAUAAAAAAAGUUGAAGCAGGAAGAAAAAAGUGAAAAAUAAAUAAUUUUUUAAACUUCCACUUCCAAUUAUUUGUGCAGCAGCUUAUUGUUACUCGCCCAUAGAGGCAUUGAAUUGCGUUGGUGGUGCGCAGGAAGAGCGCCUAACGCGGUACCGUUAAUUUCGUGUGCGCCCCUGCGUAUGUAUCGGAAUGUGGCUGUGGAAAAAUGCAAAUUAUGCACAGAAAUUCCCAGUGUAAUCAAGUGCAGAAGAAAAGUGCUCCGCCAAAGUGAAGGCCUGUGUGCGGUGGCCAGGGGGCAUGAGUGCAGUGAAGCAGAAUCAAAUAAAAUAAAGUCAAAUAUAUAUGCAUGUCAAAUUACUCGCUGUAAAGUGCAUUUAAUCCAUAAGUAAUUCAAUUAAAAGGAAAUUGCAUAAUUUUGUUGGUGAAAAUGUUGCAGCCACUUUAAGCCGCAGCGCCAAGAAACGAGCUGUCUCCGUGACGUCAAUUCAUCAACUAACUAACAGCCGCUCAACUCCUAACCCAUAGCCAAAAAAUAAUGUAUCGUUAUCAUUGUGAGUGCACAACGAAUCAUCGAUAGCAUGACCCGUGACGGAGAGAUACCCGCCAUUUUCAACCCGAAACGGGUGCGUACACCAUCCGUUGUCGUAACCGGUGACUCUCCGAAUGGUCCAUAUGGUGGGUUUAGUAAUGCGCUCAACGCCAGCAAUCCACAAAUUGCCCACCAAGACUCUAUAUCAUCGAGUCAACAGGAUCCCAGUGAGGUUAUAACAAUACAUCCGGAUGCACGUGAUGCGUCGACGCCGAUUGGCACACAUCCAGGUUUGCGACGUGGACUCGGUGCUGGCGGCGGGAGUUUCGUAAGUAGUUGUGGUGUAAGUGGUAUUGUUGGUGUGGGGCCCGGUGGCGCUGGUGGUGUUACAAAUGAACCGGAUACACCUACUUUGGAGGCAGGGCCAGAUGGCACCGAAGUGCGGUUUCGUCGUUUAAAAGCAUGCAAGGAGUCGUGUUGCUCCGAACUGGCGCGGAAGAUGUAUUUUGGUGUUUGUGUCACCAUACUCGUCACUGCGUCGUGGGUCGGCGCAACGCAUUGCAUAAAAUUCCUCUACUUGAAUCGCAGCACCUAUGCCAGCAUUACCGCAGAUGACUUCGAUAGUACAUCAAAUCGCGCCAUUGACCUGGAUUUGGUCACAAAUAUGGAUGAUGAUGAUCCGAGAAAUAUUUUGGGCAUAAGUGACAACGCCUUGAGCGUCGAUGAUGUGGAGGAUGUUACAAAAUUGUUCCAUGUCGCACAGCCAAUUUCGCCAGAGUCGACAGUAUUCCGUGCGCCCUUCUUCGCCGCUUGGUUUUUCACAAAUUUUUCAUUCUUCUUCUUUCCCAUCUACAUUCUGGGACGUGUGUCGUUGCGCAAAUGUGACAAACCAGGCGAGAUCUUGGGCGAUGUGUUGCGCGGUUUCCGCGAUCGAGGUUUUACCAUCGGUCGCUUCCUCAACCGCUGCCUCUCUUUCUGCAUCCUUUGGCUGGUCACCACCUAUCUGUACACCAUGUCCCUGCGCGUACUCUUCGCCACCGAUGCCAUGGCGCUGUUUGCGACCAACGUGGCUUGUGUUUACUUGCUGUCGUGGGUCAUUCUACACGAACAGUUUGUGGGCGUGCGGAUUGUUGCGGUUAUUCUGUGCGACACGGGCAUUGCGCUGCUGGCCUACAUGGACGGCAUUACGGAGAGUCGCACGCUGAGCGGUGUUGUGUUGGCAACACUGGGCGCUGCCGGUUAUGCAGUAUUCAGGGUUAUGUUCCGCAAAGUGAUGGGCGAUCCGCCGAUUGGUCAAAUUGCUUUUGCUUUCACCACGCUCGGGUUUCUGAAUGCGUUGCUGUUGUGGCCCGUCUGUGUGGGCCUCUAUUUGACGGGCUAUGAGAGCAUGCCGCCGGAUCGUAUGCCAUGGAUUAUUUUAUUAAUCGCCAGUAUUUUAUUAUUGGUUUUCCAUAUACUAAUGCAAUUCAGCGCAGCCGUCACUUAUAACAUGUUUGUUACGCUGGGUUUGAUAACAGCAGUGCCAGUUUCAGGAGCUCUGGACGUUGUACUGUACGGCGCCACAUUCGCCGGCAUGAAAUUGGCUGGUGUCAUAUUAAUCGCGGUUGGCUUUUUCCUAGUUAUGUUCCCCGAAAACUGGCCGGACUACAUAACGCGCUUGCUAAGAAAUAUCAUCUUGUUGGGUCACAACGCGAGUCGCCCAGCGUUUUGUAGAAGAGAUGUUGUGGUCGCAUCGCCCACCACAAGAUAGGCGUUCACGCUACGCACAAAUUCAUAUGUCAAUUCUUAAACGUCAAAUAAUGUCAAAACAUAAAUGUCAAAUGAGCGCACAGCAUAAUUGCACAGAAUUCACCAAACGUAAACCUAAAAAAACUCACCUCACUGUACAAGAGCAUAUAAGUGUAUAACAUUUACAAAAACGAGAAUCAAUGAUGGUUAUAUGAAAUGAUUUAUAUUGUAACGGUUGUAAACAUUGAAGCGCAAACAAACGUAACGUAAAUGUGGUUAACGUAAACGUAGCCGCUGCCAGCCGAUUUGAUACCACCAAAUACACGCGUACGAUUGCAACUUGAGUCAAAAGUAUUAUACGGUCAAUUUUAACGCCUUUGCCGAGUAAAAUAAUUCAAAAUGCUAACGAAAAUCUUAAAGCAGUAAAAUACCGUUAACGUAACUAAGUAAUAAACACAAACAAUCACUACUCACCACACGAUACUAACAGUACAACGUUUUGCGAGUCGCGUUCUCUGCCACUCACUCUCUGUCUCGCUUUAAAUGCGCGCUUAAUUCAU